rnacentral:misc_RNA from 1 species
GUGAAUCAUCGAAUCUUUGAACGCAAAUUGCACUCUCUUCGAAGCUAAGGCCUGUUUGAGGGUCAGUAUUAAUAAAAAUCGGAGUGUUGCUUCUUUGUGACGCUCCGGUGGUUGGGUCAUCUCACUAUCCUUUAGGUUUUAAGAGGCUUAAAAUUGACUUUUUGGGCGCAUUUUAGAUGUACAUCAAUUCUUUUUUGAUUCAUCUGUCUUAGGGCUCAAAAUCCUAUUAGAUGCAACCAUAUCACGUGG